AUUCUCCUGCCUCAGCCUCCGGAGCAGCUGGGACUGCUGGCGCCCGCCACCACGCCCGGCUAAUUUUUUUGUGUUUUUAGUAGAGACGGGCUUUCACCGUGUUGGCCUAGCUGUUCUCAAACUCCUGACCUCAUGAUCCCCCCGCCUCAGCCUCCCAAAGUGCUGGGAUUACAAGCGUGAGCCACGGCGCCCCGCCAACACUCUUGACAACAGUGCUGUUCUAAGAACUUGGGGGACUUCAAAAAGUUCACCACUUCCUGUGUCCAUGGGUGAAAAGAUUUUCUACAUCUUUCCUUGACUAGAAACAGAAGUCCUGAAACAAGCAUUUUAAAAAGGUUGUACAUCUAGCAAUACCUAACAAAAUAGGAAAUCAACUUGGAAAGCCAAUGGCUGUGUUUUGAGUUUAUGGAGAGCCAUAUGUGGCAAGGAACUGAGGGUGGCAUCCAGGCAACAGACUUCAAGAAACUGAGGCUGUCAGUCCGACAACCCACAAGAACUGAAUCUGACCAACAAUCACAGGAACAAACUUUGAAGUAUACUCUUUCCCAGACAAACCUUCAGAUGAGACCACAGCCCCAGCCAUAAGCUUGAAAACAAUCUCAUGAGGGACCUUGAGCCACAGGCAUGUAGUAAAGCUAUGCCAGGAAUCCUGCCUGCCCCACAGAAAAUGUAAAAAAAAUAAAUUUUUGUUGUUUUAA